rnacentral:rRNA from 1 species
UAGAAGGCACAUAUCACCCUGCUGCCGAAGACUGCUUUCUCACUGAAGCUAAGCAGGGCUGAGCCUGGUUCGUACCUGGAUGGGGGACCACAUGGGUAAACUAGGUAGCUGUUGGA